rnacentral:tRNA from 1 species
GCUGAAUUAGUUUAGUGGCAAAACAAGAGCAUGGUAAGCUCUAGCCCCGAGUUCGAUUCUCAGAUUCAGCACCA